rnacentral:rRNA from 1 species
CGCCUUGCCAGCCCGCUCAGAAACUCAAAGGAAUUGACGGGGGCCCGGCACAAGCGGCGGAGCAUGUGGAUUAAUUCGAUGCAACGCGAAGAACCUUACCUGGGUUUGACAUACACCGGAAAACCGUAGAGAUACGGUCCCCCUUGUGGUCGGUGUACAGGUGGUGCAUGGCUGUCGUCAGCUCGUGUCGUGAGAUGUUGGGUUAAGUCCCGCAACGAGCGCAACCCUUGUCUUAUGUUGCCAGCACGUGAUGGUGGGGACUCGUAAGAGACUGCCGGGGUCAACUCGGAGGAAGGUGGGGACGACGUCAAGUCAUCAUGCCCCUUAUGUCCAGGGCUUCACACAUGCUACAAUGGCCAGUACAGAGGGCUGCGAGACCGUGAGGUGGAGCGAAUCCCUUAAAGCUGGUCUCAGUUCGGAUCGGGGUCUGCAACUCGACCCCGUGAAGUCGGAGUCGCUAGUAAUCGCAGAUCAGCAACGCUGCGGUGAAUACGUUCCCGGGCCUU